AAAAGAAAUACAUCUUACUGCAUUCAUUCAGCUCAAAUAAAAUUAUUUAAUUUCAACUACAAAGAAAACAAAAAGAAGAAAAAUAUGGUCAAAUGAGAAGAAGGGGCAUGGCUCUGUUCUUAGAAAUGAAAGUGAAUUGAUGGAGUUGACUAGUUGGGGGUUAGUGUAAGUAACUUUAGACCAUCAGCACUUGCAGGAUUAGUGUAAGUAAUUAAAAUAUGAUGUUAUUUUUUAUUAUCUCUUGUAACUUAAAAAUAACUACGGGAUAGUAACAUAAUGGCUAAAGAUCUUAAUGUUUCAAAACCUUAGUUGCACUAUUACAACUCCAUAAUUAACUUUUUAUUUUUCCUACCUGAUUUAACAUAUAUAUUUGUUUUCCAGAGAAGUAUUAAAAUAUGGUGACUUGAUAAACUCAAAUAUCAUGGGUAGAAUGUUACUCUACGGCUUUUAACUCAAGUGGGUUGAGUCAUGCUGGAGGUCAACCAAAACCCAAAAUGUGGAAUGAAGAAUACUCAGCUCCAAACACACAGCUGACAUAUGCUUCAGCAGACUCUCGCACUAACUUAAUGCGUGCAUAGCUUUUUAACAUAAAUUCACUUCAGGAAUAGCUAAAGCUAUAAUACUUUUAACCUUGAUUCAGGACAUAAAACCCCAAGCUUAAACAGAUUGGUUUCAACUUGCAUGACUAACUUCAACACGUGGAGAAAAAAUUUCUAAUAUGGUAAAAUUAGAGAUUGGAAGUGUUUUUGUCUGUGCUUACUGUAAGUGAAUUACCUGGGGGUUUUAAAGGGCUGAAAGAAAUUUUUCUUUAGUUCAAAGCUUUGAGUAUGCAUACUUAAUAAUCUAGCAAUUAUUACUUACCAGUAUAUCAAUACAAUAUUUUCAUCUUUUAGUCCUAUAACUUGUUGUAUUUGUUAGAAAUCAUGUCAAUACGGAAAUCUAAAUCAAGGGCACUGCAAAAUUUCACACAUCCGUCAUGUAAAACAAAAGGGCCUUCCAACUGAACUAAAGCCUGCAAUUAUGACCCAGCAAACAUGAGAGGAACUAGGCAAUCACAUUUACAAUCUUUACUAACUGAUGUGAUGAAUAAUCGAAAUAAACUAGCUUUUGGAUAAUGCUAUCACUCUCUACUCAUCUUCAAACAUAAAAGAACAAAUUUCAAACUUAAAUCUCUCUCUAUCACUAUGAACAGUUGCAAUUUCACCCCUUCCAAAAGAAAAUCAUCCUUGUCCGGUAACACACAAAUAAAUAAUUCACAAUAGUCAAUGACAAGCAAUACUCACGAAAUUUGCCAUUACCUACACAAUUUGAGAGCAGCAGAGACGAUAGAGAAGAGAGAAAGCAGACCCACGGUGAGAGACCAACGACGAGAGAUCCACGGCCAGAGACAAAUGCCAAGCACCACCGCCGAGAAAGUUUGAGAAUAGAGACGACAGGGAAGAGAGACAGCAGACCCACGGCCAGAGACCAACGCCAAGCACCCUCAGAAGGUUUGAGAACAGUGAGAUUUCUGUGAGAGCAAAUGGAGAAAAGUUGUGCGUCGCGUGAGAUGGAUUGCGCGUGUGUUGGGAUUGCUAUGUGUAUUACACGUGAGUUGGCUCAUUUUAUAGUAUGUCCAAAACGCACCGUUUGGUGCUUAUUGUGGUGCUUAACGUGGGAAGAAUCUCAUUUUCCUAUACAAGUGCAUGUGUUUCUGUCCGUGCAUGUAUCACAUAUAUGCAAGUGUGCUUCUGUCCGUGCAUGUAUAGCAUGAGCAUAAGUUUAUGUAUGCGCGAGUUAUGCACACACGUACGUGCGUGAACUCUCGAGGUAUACAAAUGUGAUAGGAUUUUUCCAAAACAGUAUGCUGAAAACUUCAAGGCAUGUAAUCCAAGGCAGUAACUCAUUUAAUUGUACAAGUUAGCUCACGACUAUAAACAACCAUCAAAAUCUAAACUAAAAUCAUAGUCUACAAGCUUUCAAGUAGCUGAUUAAAAGUCUGAACUUUUUUUGGUUGAGAAGUCAGUAAAGUGGCUUCCAAAUUCAAAACUUCAAGCUGUAGAAUAUUUGGCAUUUGACAAUCCUGCACCGAACGAAGAAAAAUGGAAAAAUUAGCAAAAUUUUUCAAAGUGAUGGAGAGGAGAAGCGACAAAUUGCAAAGGGUUUGGUGCAACAGUACAAUCAUUUUGGCUAUAAAUAGAGAUUCAUUUUUCACUUGGAAAUCAUCCCAAAUUUGAGAACUUAAGAGAAAUUGCAAGUGAAGCAAUUUUAGAGUUCUGAGAGUGUGAGCAAUUGGAGAAUGUGUGUGAGAAUACAGAGUGUAUUUGGGUUCUGGGAAAGUGAGGUUUCUCUACCCAAAUUUAUACUCUAGUAAUUAUUAGUAAUACAAUUAUUUUUCUUUUGCUCCCGUGGAUGUAGGCAUAUUGCCGAACCACGUAAACUUCUGCGUCCUUUAUUUUUUUGUGAUUAUUUGAUGCGCUUAAUUCCGCAUUCUGUGCAAAACAAUUUUCACAUCCACAACUAAAAUAGUUAAAAAACUUUAAUAAAUCUAAAAGGGUAGCAACAAAAUGCUUAAAAAGUACAAUUUUGGGGCAUCCAUUGAAUAAUCAUCAACUAACAUUUCAAUAUCACAAACAUUAUAAGUUAUAAUACAACAAAUAGAGAGAAUAUACAAAAUCAAAAAUUACACAAAGAAAAUGUUCGAGUUUAACGGAGACACCAUGGCUGAGUUGAACGAAAGAUGGAGCUGAGUUGAAAUUGCGAAUGCAUGAAUGCAUGAAGUCUGAGUCUACGAUUAAUGGGUCACCCAUUGAAAUUCAUUACAUAACGAGACGGAUUUGGAUUUAAGAAUAAAAAAUCUUUCACCAAAUAACCUGCUACCACGUAAUAUUAAUAAUUCAAUAUUUUGAUAUUUUAAAUUACU
rnacentral:lncRNA from 1 species